rnacentral:rRNA from 1 species
GGAGGAUGCAAGUGUUAUCCGGAAUCACUGGGCGUAAAGCGUCUGUAGGUGGUUUAAUAAGUCAACUGUUAAAUCUUGAGGCUCAACCUCAAAAUCGCAGUCGAAACUAUUAGGCUAGAGUAUAGUAGGGGUAAAGGGAAUUUCCAGUGGAGCGGUGAAAUGCGUAGAGAUUGGAAAGAACACCGAUGGCGAAGGCACUUUACUGGGCUAUUACUAACACUCAGAGACGAAAGCUAGGGUAGCAAAUGGGAUUAGAUACCCCAGUAGUCCUAGCCGUAAACAAUGGAUACUAGAUGUUGAACAGAUCGACCUGUGCAGUAUUAAAGCUAACGCGUUAAGUAUCCCGCCUGGGAAGUAUGCUCGCAAGAGUG